GGUGCACCACUCCUCUCACCUCUCACACCUCUGUGAUGUACCGUGAGUGGUGAACACUCACGGUACAUCACACCUCUCACCAGCAGGUGCGUAUGGUGAACACUCACAGCACACCACACCUCUAACCAGCAGGUGCGUAUGGUGAACUCUCACAGCACACCACACCUCUAACCAGCAGGUUCGUAUGGUGAACUCUCACAGCACACCACACCUCUAACCAGCAGGUUCGUAUGGUGAACACUCACAGCACACCACAC